AAGCUGUAUUGUAGGAGCCCGCAAUGAAGCCUGCUUCCUUUAUACCUGUGUUGGUUUGAUGGGGCAGCUUUAAGUUGGAAGCUCUAAAUAAAGCUGCCAUACUUAGCUAUUGUAUACCUCUUCACAUCUAGUAAGUUUCCGAAGCAUUCUCCUCCCCCUCCUCCUUCUCCUCCGUGCCCUCUUUCAUUCUCCCUGGCUCUGUGUGUGUGUGUGUGUGUGUGUGUGUGUGUGUGUGUGUCAGUCUCACACCUAGCCAGAGUCAAAGGAUUCUUAAUAAGAAGCAAUCGAAAGCAAUCCUCUCUGCUGGCCUUACAUAAGAACCACACAGCAGCCGGUCUCCUGAGCCAUCCCUGUCACAUUCUCCUGUCUGCUGAAGACAGGAACAUCACCGAGAGUUGCUGGGAGAAGAAUGACUCACAGGUGAUACCCGCCACACACGUUAUCCUCAAGGUAAACGCAAGUCAGGAGACAAGGCCACAGAGUCCCAAAAUAGUCUGAGCCUGUCACUUAGUACCCAAAAUAAUUACUCAAGAAAUAGCUCUUUCUGAAGGGAGAAAUUACCCCAUCAGUAUAAAAUGACACUGUCAGGAGAUUGCUGGAUAAUGAUUUUUUAACAACUUCUUGGUACUCAUCCUGACAAGAAAAUCGCAAAUUAAAAUUAUAUCAGCUAAAUGGAGCCAAGAAUUGUUUUCUAAAUGCUUUUCUUAGUUUCUGUCUAGGUUGGAAAUAACCACCAAUAAAGGAGCCAGUCAAGAGAGUCCAAGGUAAACUAGAAAGCAAGUGGCCAGUAAAUCCGAAGACCAGAAGCUUCCAAGGUGGGGGAGGCUCAUGAUCCAGAGCCCCAAGUACGUGCAUGCUGGGGAGACCAAAAUGUCCUAUUACAGAGUGCAUGACAGUGCUUGCACAAUUCACUUCUAAAUAGGCCCGGCACACUCAUCGCUCACAGUUGAAGAUUGAUAGGUAUAUUAGUGUCCUGCAUGUUAUAACAAAUGUCCACACACUGAGUGGCUUAAAGCAACUUAAAAGAUUUGGAAGAUCCUGGAAGAUAGACAUGGAAGUCAAGGUGUGAACAAUGUCAAUUGUUCCUGUAGAUUCUGAGUGAGAUUUCUGUUUGGCAUGUCUCCUUUCGAUUCUUUCAAGUGCAGGCAAACCCUAGGGCUCUAGCUUAUGCAUAGGUGUAUCGCUCCAAUCUGUCUCCAUUGUCAUAUGGUGUCUUUGUAUUUGUGUCUCUACCAAAGUUUGCUCUCCUUCCAUGGAUUCUCAUCAUUGUGUUAAGGUUUGCCAUAACUCAGUAUGCCCUCACUUAACUUGAUUACAUUUUAAAACUCUACCAAGGUAAGGUUGUUACUACACUUUAGAAGGGGUCCCCAUUCAGUCCAUAAUGCCACGUCUCUCAGAUAUUCCAUGACCAUUCAUGUGUGUGGUCUGGAACCUUGAGGUAUUAUAAAGUGAGGAAAACAUUGACUACUAGAGCUGAAAGCAGCUAGGCAGGAACCUAACUCUCUUUUUUUCCACAGACGAUUACCUGACUUGCAAGCAAGCAACCAUUGAGACCCAGGAUGAAGUCAGGUAUGGGGGAUGGUGCAACUAAUCCCAGCACCAUGGAUAUAGAGGAAUAAGGAUCAGCAGUUAAAAGGAUAGCUUUUGCUGCAUAACAAGUUCAGAUCCAGCCUGGGCUACAUGAGACCCUGACAAAAAAUAAGAACCCACAAAGCUAACGUGUGAGAAUGAUUUGCUCUCUGUAUACAGAGGAUAGAGACAGUGUCUACAACACCUCACCUACCUCUGUUAGUGUUUGUCUUGAGGAGACUAAGAAAUCUAAAGGUGCUAAGAGUCACCCAUAGUCCAUAAUCCAUCUCGCCUCUGCCUUAAAGGAAGCGCAUCAAGUAUGAGCAUAGAAUACAGAUGUGUGUUCAUCCAGCUACAAAAGAGCCUUCAUUCUAAGAACUGCUUUGGCAUCUAACAGUGGUCAAUAGACCAAAAAGCUUCCCAGCCUCUAGACACAAAGAAGUGUCAUAGAAAGAUAGUUUUGACUCAGCACCAGGUUGACUGUCUUCCCUUAUUGCUUUUUGUCUUUUGAUAUAAUAUCCCUUGAACGUUAUCUAAAUAGUAGAGAAAUGAGCAAUUGACAAAAAGGAAGAAUUUGGAAGAAAUAUGCAAAUGCCCCACUUGCGCAAAACUUCAAAGUACUGAAGCAUUACACUGGGAAUCAAAGGAAAUGUCUAGACGCCAGUGAAGAUGCUGCGUAGACUGACCACGAUUGUUCUGGGGCCGUUCCUUGCAGCAGGAGUGGGGGAAAGAAGUAACAGGGACAAGGAAGAUGCAAAUGUAUGUGAAUAUAUGUGAUAUUCCAUUGAAUAACAGAAUAUGCAGAAUGUAGAAGAGCUCUCUCCGUUAAUCUCUACAACCCUAAGUGUUAGGGUCCGAGAUUCACAGAAGAGGGGGCUAAGGAUUAGAGCGCUGUGAGCACUCUGCCCAUGGUCACAUUAGAGCGCUGUGAGCACUCUGCCCAUGGUCACAUUAGAGCGCUGUGAGCACUCUGCCCAUGGUCACAUUGCUAGUCAUUGGUGAAGCUACCAUGACACCUGGGACUCUGAACCAAGAUGGAUUCUUACCAAAAGGAAGAGUGAAAAGCAAUAAUAGAAAAGUGUUCUCAGUUGGUUCUUAGUGACCCAAAACUCACAGACUUUGGGAUCUGAAGAUGGUCUUUAAAAGAAUAAAAAAUGGGAUCCAGGAUCUAUGGGAAAAUGUGACUUUGGUGCUGUUUUUGAUUAAUGCCCUAAGCAGACUAUGGAAAAGCCGCAUAAGCAAACAGAACAAUCUGGGGUUAGUUUAAUAAGAGGUGGGGGCUGAAAUUUGAGACUUAAAAAAAAAAGUCUUAAUGAAACAAAAUACAGCCAAGCACAUUCUUUCUUCUUCCCAUUUCAUUCGCUGCCUUUUAAGAUCCAGGCAGCAUAGCCUGUAUCCCAGCUGGGGGUAGGGCCUGGCUUUCAGCAAGCCUUGACAGGGAUCUCCCACAAAGCACUAGGAGAGGACCUGCCUUGGAAGCUCAUGCAUGCUCGGUUUGCACAAAGAAGCUGCAAUGUGCAGACAACCAUAAAUAAAACAGGUAAGCUGACCUGUUACUUUUGCCCUAGCUGGGUCCUAGGACUGGAGACAGAUAGCUUUAGGGACAUAGUCGAAGUUGCAGUGAGAUGUCAUACAAAUGACUGGACAAAUGCAUGUGGUAUGAAAACAGAGUAAGGACUCUGGAGAAAGGAAGGGAAUGGGAGGGGGUAGUAGAGGAGAAGGCUGUGUUAGAACCAGCCCAUAGGGAUGGACAUGCCAUGAUGAAACCCAUAGGAAUGGACAUGCCACAACGACAGCCCAUAGGAAUGGACAAUCCACGACAGCCCAUAGGGUUGGACAUGCCACAACGACAGCCCAUAGGAAUGGACAUGCCACGACAGCCCAUAGGAAUGGACAUGCCACGACGGCGGCCCAUAGGAAUGGACAUGCCACGACGAAACCCCUUCACCUUGCUGAUCUCUAACUCAAAGCCACUCUGCUCCAGGUGAAGCCUCUGCCUUCACCUCUGGAUAAGGAUUCCAUACUUGCAUCUUUAAGCUAGUUCGUGGGCAUCUCUACGGAAGCCAUCCGCAGGCAUCUUACAGACACAAGAUCAGGGGAGUACUCCCUACUUGCAGAUGCGCCUAAUGCCAAGCUGCAGCUCUACCUCUGCUUGCUACGGAGGUUUGAUUACUGACUCCUCUCAACUCUUCUACUUCCUCAUUGACAGAAGGGGAAUAAGACAGUGCUGGCUCCCUAGGAUGGUCAAAAGAACUGACAUAAGAUAAUCAGGGAGUGCGUGGUACAUGAUGCAGCUCCCACGGUCUGCCUGCUGCUGCGGAACCCCAUCCCCCUUCACUAGCCCUCCAUCAACAUCACAUCCAUGGAGUCUGUCAAACUGAAUGGGUAACACAGGAACAACAGAUUUGCUUUGCAAUGGAAGUCGCUGGAACCUGAAACAAGAUGUGUUGCUGGCGAUGUAGCUCAAGUAGUUGAAUAUUUGCCUGGAAAACAUAACACAUUGUUCAUAGGCUUCAUUGUUCAACUUUCAGGUUCAAACUUAGUAGUCAAGAAAUGAUCAUUUAAAAAAAAUCUGAUUCAUUUUAGGUAAAAGGAAAAAUUAUCUUGAUUUUGCCCAAUACCUUGAGGAACAUUCUAUCUGAUCAUGAGAUAUCCCUAGGCUCAACUAUAAAACAUUUCUCAUGGCUUUGAGACAGGUGCUUGGGUAAAGCAAGCUGUAUAAACAGCAGCAGUAAAAACAAGCAAAACAGCAAAAUAAAGAACAACAAAGAUAAGAACAACCUGUACAUACCCUGCCCACAGAGAAGACAGUACAACAAGUGAUUGUAGCUGAACUUAGCCACUUUACGGCCAGUGCAAGCAAGCUCUGCCUCCUAGGCUAGGUGACCUUGCUCUAGUUCUGUAUACCUUGGCUUCCUCCGCAUAAAAGGAGAUUAAUGAUAGAAACAACAAUGUACUAAAGAUGAAGUUAGUAAAGGCUGAAGCAGUGACUCAGUUGGCAAAGUCCUUGUCACAUAAGCACAAGGAACUGAGUUUGAUCCCCAGAAUCCAGUUCUAGCACUGGGGUUAGACAUAGGUGGAUGACCUGGGUUUGUAGACCGCCCAGCCUAGCCUUAUCAGAGAGCCAUAGGCCAAAGAGACCCUGUUUCCAAGAAGAGUGAUAUCCAAGGCUGGCCUCUGUCCUGAACACCAGCAUAUGCCCACCUGUGUGUGCACAAGUACAACACACACACACACACACACAAGAUAAAGUUAAUGAAGCUAAAUGUGUGGCUCUUGCCAGUGAUCUAAGCAUCUGGGAGACUUAGACAAGACGAUUGCUACAUGUAUAAAGCCACCUUGGGCUAUAUAGUAAAUUCUGGAACUGCCUGAGCUACUGAUACCACAUCUCAAAUAUAAAAUUAAUAAAUACAUAGUAAUAGUAUUAGCUAUUACUUUAUAUAAGUCAAUUGAAAUAUUUGUACAACGUGAAAAUGAUAUUUGAGAUUGUGGC
rnacentral:lncRNA from 1 species